UACGUAGGGCGCAAGCGUUGUCCGGAAUUAUUGGGCGUAAAGAGCUCGUAGGCGGCUUGUCACGUCGGGUGUGAAAGCCCGGGGCUUAACCCCGGGUCUGCAUUCGAUACGGGCAGGCUAGAGUGUGGUAGGGGAGAUCAGAAUUCCUGGUGUAGCGGUGAAAUGCGCAGAUAUCAGGAGGAACACCGGUGGCGAAGGCGGAUCUCUGGGCCAUUACUGACGCUGAGGUACGAAAGCUAGGGGAGCAAACGGG
rnacentral:rRNA from 1 species